rnacentral:lncRNA from 1 species
UAUGAUGAAAUAUAUUACAAGUUCUUCUUCCCCAAUUCCUCUCUUAUUCUCUAUCUAUCUUCUAUCCCUAACCCUCUCAACUCUCCUCCCUUCUCUCUUCUUAUCCUUCCCAAUUCUCCCAGACUUCACCUUCUAUUUCCCCAAUUCCUCACAUUACCUGCAAUCCGAAGAGUUCCCUGGCUCGGAAGCUCCCCAUCAUCCUCU